rnacentral:rRNA from 1 species
GGCCCAGACUCCUACGGGAGGCAGCAGUGGGGGAUAUUGCACAAUGGGGGAAACCCUGAUGCAGCGACGCCGCGUGUGGGAAGACGGUCCUCUGGAUUGUAAACCACUGUCCCCAGGGACGAAGAUGACGGUACCUGGGGAGGAAGCUCCGGCUAACUACGUGCCAGCAGCCGCGGUAAUACGUAGGGAGCGAGCGUUGUCCGGAUUUACUGGGUGUAAAGGGCGUGUAGGCGGGACUGCAAGUCAGAUGUGAAAAUUAUGGGCUCAACCCAUAACCUGCAUUUGAAACUGUAGUUCUUGAGUGAUGGAGAGGCAGGCGGAAUUCCGUGUGUAGCGGUGAAAUGCGUAGAUAUACGGAGGAACACCAGUGGCGAAGGCGGCCUGCUGGACAUUAACUGACGCUGAGGCGCGAAAGCGUGGGGAGCAAACAGGAUUAGAUACCCGCGUAC